rnacentral:lncRNA from 1 species
UUUUUUUUUGUUUUCCAUGCAGCGAUUCCCAACACCACACGCCUCAAUGCGCUCGUUUUUCACUAUUUUUAUGUUUUUAGUUUCCAUUUUUUUGCUUACUUUUUUCCCUUACCAUGUGGUAGUACAUAUAGUACUUUAUCAUUUUUAAUAUGUUCACAUACUAUAUCUAACAUAAUCCAAAGUGUAUGAAAAGUUGCAAGUGGGCCCAUUGUUUUUAUUAUAUUGUAAAAUAUGUACAUAUUUGUAUGUUAAAAGAAGCAUGCUAAAAAUAUGGUACAUACCUUAUAAAAAGUAUAUAUACUGCAUAAACAUUCUAAUAUACUACAUACUACACAUACAUACACUUAAAAAUGGUAGAUACUAAAUACAACAUACAAAAUAAAAGUGGGUGUAACUACACCCGAUAGUAGCAAAAAAUACUUUUCAUAAAAAAUUGAAAAAUGUUAAGUGUGCACAGAAAAAAUGUUUCUCAUGUAUACGAAAAUAUAUACAAAAUAUAUAUAAUUUAUAAAUGUAUACGACAAAUUUACAACAUGUAUUCUAAAAAUGUAAAUUGUGCAUUUAAAAAAUGUUAACCUUGUAUACAAAAAUGUUCCUUGUGUACAUGAAAAAGGUACAUUGUGUAUGGAAAAAGUAGACAUCAAAACCAUAUAUUGGACAAAAAUGUCAGGUAUAUACCAAAAAUGUACAUUGUGUGUGUUCUUUUUUAUUACCAUUAGAAAAAUGUUGACCAUGUAUCUGAAAAAAAUAUUGACUAUGUAUUAAAAAAGUGUUCAAAACAUUUAUUUAAGAAAAAUGUGCAUUGUGUAUUUUAAAAAAUUCAACAUGUAUCAACAAAAUGUUUCGCGUGUACACUAAGAAUGUACAUUGUGUACUAAAAAAAUUAGACAUGUGUUGACAAAGUAACCAAUGAAAAGCGACAAAGAAACAAAGAGAAACGAAGAAAACCAAUGAAAACUGAAAUGGGACAAUAAAAUCAAAGAAACCAACAGAAAUGUAUGAAAACAGUGAAAACCCAGAAAAAGACGAAAAACUGGGAAAAGAAACAAAAAAUAGUAGAAAAAAGUAAAGAAAAGAAAACAUCAAUGAGAAAAAAAAUAAAAGAAACAACAUAACAGAAACAAAAUCAUAGAAAAAAGAAAACAAUGAAAAUGAAAAAAAGACCGAAGAAAACCAGUGAAAGAAGUAAAGAAGCCCAGAAAAAAUAGAGACAACCAUGAUGAAAUGAAGAAAACCGAAAAAAAACAAGAUAAUAGAAAAUAAAAAAAUACCAAAAAUCAGUACAACCCAUAGAACGGAGAUAUUCACUGAGAAGAAAUGAGCGAGCGAUCUGUCUGUCAUCCUGACCGAGCGAUCGAGGAGAAGAAAUGGGUUGUCCCAUUACACGCAUGUGGAAAAAAAAUCUGCUGAGGGCAUCGUAGGACCCUAUAAGCGAGAAAUAGUCCCCAUACCUAUCUGUCGAUCUUUGCGGCGGAUUGGCAGGGCAACAUACAGGCAACCGUCCGACUAGGCCGGCCCACUAGCUUAUGCAGCGAACCAGAAAACCAGACCAUGUAUUAUAGUGGAUUUGUCUCGAAAAAAUGUAUUAUAGUGGAUCGAACGGAUUACCAUAACGAACCAGACCAAGGCACUGUAGCGAAUAUUUUUUAGAAAAAAAAUUGAGAACAACUUUUUCUCUUUUUGCGGGUGAAAGAACUUUAUAUUACUUAAUCACAAGGUCUUUACAAUCUCCAAAGUCUCCACAAAGCCGGACCCUAGCCAAGUCAUAGUCUGACCUUCUAGUCUAGCAAACCUUCAACUAUCACUAGCUUUAUUCCGAGAAUGAGAACGAGAGACAUAAGUAAUACAAGUUUGUAUAAGGCCCAUUAAGAAUCUAAGCUCAUUAGCCAACGAAGCACACAUUGAAUGGUCCACCUCUUCAAAUAAAAUCAUAGACACAACCAUGCUCAAGUCCAUCUUGACGACGAUCGCCGUUUCAGUGAUAAGCUAUACAUGCGCCUAGCUCUGCCUCUAAGAGCAUCUUUAGCCGUUGGCCCUCUCAGGAGGCAAAAAAACCGCCGCCUGGGGGCGAGCCAGCGGUCGAAUCCGCUCUGGGGGCCAGCCGUCGCCCCCAGGUCACCCCAGGCACCGAUAUCGGCCCAGUUUUUGGCCCACUUUCGGCGAAAAGUGACCCGAUAUCAGCGAGAAUCGGUCCAUAUUCGACGUGGUUCGGCAUUGAAUUGUAACAUAAAUAUUUUUUUAUCACAUAGUUCAUCAUAGAAAAUCAAAUAGUUUAACAAAAUAGUGCAACAACAAAUAGUUCAAUACAAAUUAUAUAGUUCAACAAAUAAAAACUCAUAUUUCUUCACACGUCGAGCCCAGCGUCGCCCUUAAUCCUCCAUAGGUGCUCCACCAGAUCCUGCUGUAGUUGAUGAUGCACCUGUGGGUCUCGGAUCUCCUGACACAUACUGAGGUAGGCAGUCCAGGUUGCCUGUAGCUGGUGAUCAACUUCGGCUAGAGGACCCUGCCUGUAGUAUGGUUCAGUGUCAAACACUGGCUCUUCCUGCUUGCUCUCGAUGAUCAUGUUGUGCAAGAUGACAUAGCAAGUCAUGAUCUCCCACAUUUGAUCUUUCGACCAGGUCUGAGCAGGGCACAGGACAACAACAAAUCGAGAUUGGAGCACACCAAAUGCCCGCUCGACAUCCUUCCUGCAAGCCUCCUGAACCUUAUCAAAGUGGGACUUCUUGCCUCCUAGCACAGCGUUUGAGAUAGUCUUCACAAAUGUAGACCAUCUCGGAUAGAUGCCAUCAGUGUUCGGGAACAUAGUAAUUUUUUUAAAAAAAAUCAUACGCACACGCAAGAUCAUGGUGAUGCAUAGCAACGAGAGGGAAGAGUAUCGUCCACGUACCCUCCUAGACCGUAAGCGGAAGCGUUAUGAGAACGCGGUUGAUGUAGUCGAACGUCUUCACAAUCCGACCGAUCCAAGUACCGAACGCACGACACCUCCGAGUUCAGCACACGUUCAGCUUGAUGACGUCCCACGAACUCCGAUCCAGCAGAGCUUAGCGAAGAGUUCCGUCAGCACGAUGGCAUGAUGACGGUGAUGAUGUUGCUACCGACACAGGGCUUCGCCUAAGCACCGCUACGAUAUGAUCGAGGUGGAUUAUGGUGGAGGGGGCACCACACACGGCUAAGGGAUCAUGUAACGCCCCGAGACCGAUGUGCCAGGUAUCGUCCAGUUAUUCGCUGUUGUUGCCUUGUCAUUGCUUGUGUGUCAUGCAUUGCAUAUCAUGUCAUCAUGUGCAUUUCAUUUGCAUACAUGUUCGUCUCAUGCAUCCGAGCAUUUUUCCCGUUGCCCGUUUUGUAAUCCGGCGCUCCUAUGUCACCCGGUGCCCCUUCCUACCUCUUUUCGUGUGUGGGGGUUAAAUAUUUUCGGAUUGGACCGAGACUUGUCUUGCGGCCUUGGUUUACUACCAGUAGACCGCCUGUCAAGUUUCAUAUCAUUUGGACUUCGUUUGAUACUCCAACGGUUAACCGAGGGACCGAGAAGGCCUCGCGUGUGUUGCAGCCCAACACCCUUCCAAAGUGGCCCAAAACCCACUUAAACCUCCUCCAUCAUCUCGGUCGUUCGAUCACGAUCGCGUGGCCGAAAACCGUGUCUCCGAUUCCGGUGUUCUUUAUAUCGAUUUCAACCGAAAUCACCUCACCUUUCCAGUGGCACACUUGGAUUUCCAAGUUGAGGCCAGGUUCUUUCUUUCCCUUGCAAAUCAUGCAUAUGCAUCGCAUACCGCAUCCCGCAUAUCAUACCAUGUUCAUGUGUUGGUUGUUUACUAUGUUGUGUGCUUCUUUCCGGUGUUGCUUCUUCGGGUUGGUUCCGAUAACGUCGCAUUUGUGAGGAUUCGUUCGUCUACGCCCGUUUGUCUUCUUCAUGGUCUCAGUCUUCUUCCUUGCGGGAUUUCAGGCAAGAUGAUCAUACCCUCGAAAUCACUUCUAUCUUUGCUUGCUAGUUGCUCGCUCUUUUGCUAUGCCUAUGCUGUGAUACCUACCACUUGCUUAUCAUGCCUCCCAUAUUGUUAAACCAAGCCUCUAACCCACCUUGUCCUAGCAAACCGUUGUUUGGCUAUGUUACCGCUUUGCUCAGCCCCUCUUAUAGCGUUGUUAGUUGCAGGUGAAGAUUGAAGUUUGUUCCUUGUUGGAACAUGGAGAUCGUUCCUUGUUGGAACAUUGUUUACUUGUUGGGAUAUCACAAUAUAUCUUAUCUAAUUAAUGCAUCUAUAUACUUGGUAAAGGGUGGAAGGCUCGGCCUUAUGCCUGGUGUUUUGUUCCACUCUUGCCGCCCUAGUUUCCGUCAUAUCGGUGUUAUGUUCCCGGAUUUUGCGUUCCUUACGCGGUUGGGUUAUAAUGGGAACCCCUUGACAGUUCGCCUUGAAUAAAACUCCUCCAGCAAGGCCCAACCUUGGUUUUACCAUUUGCCACCUAGCUUUUUUCUUUCCCUUGGGUCGGCCAGCCCAAGGGUCAUCUUUAUUAAACCCCCCGGGCCAGUGCUCCUCUGAGUGUUGGUCCAACCCAGAGCACCGUGCGGGGCCGUCCCUUGGCAACUUGGGUUACGUUGGCUCCCGUAUGCUUAGCUUAUCCGGUGUGCCCUGAGAACGAGAUAUGUGCAGCUCCUAUCGGGAUUUGUCGGCACAGCGGGUGGUCUUGCUGGACUUGUUUUACCAUUGUCGAGGAUGUCUUUAACCGGGAUUCCGAGUCUGAUCGGGUCUUCCCGCUAGAAGGAAUAUCCGUCUUUGACCAUGAGAGCUUGUGAUGGGCUAAGUUGGGACACCCCUGCAGGGAUUUGAACUUUCGAAAGUCGUGUCCGCGGUUAUGGGCAGAUGGGAAUUUGUUAACGUCCGGUUGUAGAAAACCUGAAGUUGACCUUAAUUAAAAUACAUCAACCGCGUGUGUAACCGUGAUGGUCUCUUUCCGGCAGAGUCCGGGAAGUGAACACGGUGUUGGAGUAAUGCUUGACGUUAGGUUAUUCUAGGAUCACUUCUUGAUCAUAGUUUCUCGACCGUGCUUUGUCUUCUCUUCUCGCUCUCAUUUGCGUAUGUUAGCCACCAUAUAUGCUAGUCGCUUGCUGCAGUUCCACUUCAUACCUUUACCUUACCCAUAAGCUUAAAUAGUCUUGAUCGCGAGGGUGCGAGAUUGCUGAGUCCCCGUGGCUCACAGAUACUUCCAAAACCAGCUUGCGGGUGCCGAUGAGUUCGUGCCGAUGACGCAACCAAGCUCAGGAGGAGCUCGAUGAAGAUCUUGUUCUUUAUGUUGUUUCGUUCUAGUUGAUCAGUAGUGGAGCCCAGUUGGGGUCGAUCGGGGACCUUGUCGCAUUUGGGGUUCUUCUUUUAUUUUGGUUCCGUAGUCGGACCUUGAUUGUAUCUGGUUGAUGUAAUGCUUUAUUCAUGUAUUUGUGUGAAGUGGCGAUUGUAAGCCUACUAUGUAUCUUUCCCUUAUGUAUUACAUGAGUUGUGUGAAGAUUGCCUUACUUGCGACAUUGCUUUCAACGCGGUUAUGCCUCUAAGUCGUGCUUCGACACGUAGGAGAUAUAGCCGCAUUGAGGGCAUUAUAAGUUGGUAUCAGAGCCUUCCCCGACCUUAGGAGCCCCCCUGCUUGAUCGAAUUAGCUGACGAGUUGAGUCUAGAAAAAAAAUUUGAGUCAUUUAGGAAUUAUAUAUUGGAGAGUUAGGAAUUCUUUUUACUCCUCAGUCCCUUCGUCGCUCUGGUGAGGCAUCCUGGCGUAGAGUUUUGACUCUUCUCUUCUCAAAUUUCACUUAAAUUUUUUUAGGAUCACGCGGGUAUCUUGGAAUCAUUCCGAUAGUUUUGUGACGAGAACAUUGUUCUUGGUGCCUCCUGUCAUUUAGGGGUUGUGGUAGUGUCCCGGGGAGUUGAGCUCCGAGGUGUUGUCGUCACAAUUUUAUCGUUGCAGUUCUGGAAUAACUGAGUUUAGUUUCGCCGACAUCGAAAAUCUCUUUUAUGCAGUUGUUGGUGAGAUAACCUGGACGCCACCCAGUACUGGGGCGGGAGUUCGGGAGUAUUGCCAUAACUCGUAUAACGGAUGCUUUUUGAAGGUUGAGGUAGAUGAUUUCCGAAGGUUUCUUGGUUAUGUGUUGAAGGAUGGAUACAGCUGGAUGUAGGAUUUGCUAGAUUUGGGUGAGAUAUUAUGCUUCCCCUGUAUCCCCAACACCUGAUUGCAUAACCGGAAAAUUUCGGGAGUUUAUAAGUUGGAAUUCAAGUAACUCUUAGGAUAUCUUUCCGACAGAUGUAUGAUAUGAAAUUGGGGUUCGACGUCUAGUGGUCCGCCUAUUCAUGGUUGGUUUUACAGUGGUCUCGUUGUGUCUUAAAGAGUCCUUGGCUAUGCCGACUCGGGGAUGCUUCGUAUGUCAUGUGCACUGCCUUGUACAUGAUGGUGCUGUACGAUCGAGCCCGUGUAGGUCCCACCACGAAAACUUCGGACGAAAUCUCUAUCAUAUGUUUGUUCCGUCUUAUUUUGCAAGCCAAUCCUUAUUUUGUUUUCAGUUGUGGUAUUCGAGUUGCUUCGAAGUCAAAUGUUGAUUCCAUACCUUUUCCAAGUGGUGUUCUCAUGUUCCUAUGUGAAUAACAAUCCUUCAUGAUAAUCGAGAUUGUCAUGUCAAUCCUUUUCAACCAGUGUGUCUCUCGUCAAGCAGAUCCGUUCAUUUCCAACAUCCGCAAGAUUCAAUCUCAGCUUUCGCAACGGUGUUCAUUUCAUACAUCCCAAGUUGUCCUUGUUGUCCCUCCCUCCCUCCCUUUUUCCUCAAGGACUCAGAUUUCUUAAUCAAGCAUCCUUUUUAUUCUUGUGAAGUCUCUCCACUCUUUUCAAUCAAUAUCCUUAUCUGGUGAUUCUCAUGAAGAUUCUAAUGGAGCUCCAAGUUCGUCAUUCUUCAUUCUUUUCAUCUCCGGUGGUUUCAAGUCAAGCUUUGUUGAUCAUAUGUUUUCCUCAUUUAAAUGCUUACUUAUGCCAGUGCACCUCUUAAUCUUCCCCGCUUGCCAUUCAAUUGUUCCGGAGUGUUCAAGAUAUCUUGAAGAUUCGUGUUUCCACUCUGCUUUCGUAAUCCUUUCAAGCUCUUUCGAGGUUGUUAUCUCAUUCUAGCCAUUUAAUCUUACCGGUGCAUUCUCUCUUUUAAAUCAUUCUACGGUGUUUCUUUUGAGUGGGCCCUAACCCACAGGUCUUUUCCCAGGAUCUUACCUGACUCUUCUUUUUUUUCCCGGCGUUACUCUAAAAUUCUUUCCAAGUUUGACGUAAGAAUGAUUUAUCAUCAGUCAUAUGUCUUCCUCCAAGAUCUUUCAAAUUCUUUUCAUCGUUGGUUCAACCUUUCUAAUUUUCAUCCCGGAGUAUCUCAACAAUUUGGUGGUGUUUCUCGUCGUCAUUCUCAGAUUUGAAGACCGAAGAAGAGUUUCUCUUUAAUCUUGCUCCAUUCUCUUCAAGAUUCGGGAUUCUAGCUUGUUGCCAUCAUCUCAUAAUUAUUUUCGAUUGUGGGAAUUCUUUUCACCUAUCCGGAGCAAUUCAAGAGUCUUCUCAGUUUGUUAUCCAGAGUUCAUCAAUUCAGGUUUAUUCAUUCUCAGCUUUCAGUUUUCAUUCUCCAAGCUUACCGGUGCUUCGUUCAAGUAAUCUCUAAUCGGCUCGUGAUCUCUUUGUUCUCAUGUAUCUAAAUCCUCUCAAGCAUCCUCGUUCAUUUUAUAAUUCUUCCCGGUGUUUCUUUAUCUUCUCGUCGUUCAUUUUCAAUUCUUAUGGUGGUUCAUUCAAGAGUCCUCGGCAUUCAUUGUCAUAUCAAUUCUUUCGUUCUUUCAAAUCCUACCGGUGGAUCAUUGAAGGCCUCUUUAAGUUUGCGCAAUAUCUAUCUUAAUCCUUUCUAAGAGAGUAAGUAGUAUGCCAAAUCCGUUGUUUGUCAUCAAUUUAAAUUGGUGAAGGAUACGCAUAACGUAAUUCUUAUUCUUGCUUCAUCCAACUGUUUAAUUCCUUAUUCCGGAGGCUUAUCAAAUUCUUGUUUCCAAUUGUUCAUCUUCUCUUUUUCCCGGAGUUCCAACCUUUUUCAACUAUUUCAUCACGGAGAUCCAUCUAAGUCAUUACAAGGAUUCACCUUGUGUUUUUCAACUUCUCUUUUUCUCUCGUUAUCCUUUGGUUACCGGAGUUCUUCAUGAAGGUUCUAUAUAAUGGUUCAUCAAGGAUUUAUAUUCCUUCUCAAAGUGUUCAUAGAGAUUCUUUUCUAAGGAGCUCAAGCAUUCUUCAUCUUGCUAUCCAGAGUGCAAUUCUUUCUUCCGUAUUAUUGGAGGUGGUAUUAUGCCAUUCUUGAUAAUUUGAGUUCAUGUUUCAUGAUUCACAUGUUGUCAAGGAUGAGAUAUUUUAAAUCCAUCAUUUUCUUCAUUGGAAUUAUCUUGGGUUAUAUUUCACCUAAAGCUUGCCUUUAAGGAUUGUCGCUCUCUUGGUGUUUAUCAAGGACCCAAGUUCUUCUUUAUCCUCCCGGUGAUAUACGUUCUCGUCUACUUGGUCAUACCAAUCCAAUUCUUUUCCCGUGAGUGGCAGGUUGUCACCUCAUAAUUUGAGAUGUAUUCCAUAAGACCAUAUCAAGCUUAUUCUUUUCGUUGUUGGCUUUUCCAACAACUCAGUGCGAACCUUCUCCUUAAAAUGCUUUUCAAGCUCAUCGGAGGUAGAAGAUGUUGUUUUCUUCUCCGUUCUUAUGUUCCGACGAUCCAACUUCUAUUCUUUCAUUCCAGAGGCAUUGUGAUGUUGCUCUUUUCAACCUUUCUUCUUAUUUUUGUCAGGACCUUAUUUUUUUCAAACCUAUCCACUUAACCGGAGUGUUGUGUCACUUUUGCUCAAGCUCUUUCAUUUUUCAAGGCAUUCAUCUCCUUUCAACCGAAAUGCUACCCGAAUCGGUUCUUUCUUAUUCCUCUGUCUUUACGGAGUGCUUUCAACUUUGUUCACCUCUGUUGCUUUCUUUCUUUCAUUUGUUCAACCUUUCAAGGUUCAUGGUUUCACUCGUUUGUCAAUGAAGCAACUUAGUUUUACGUCUCCUAUUUUCUCUUCCGUUUGUUCCUCCGGUGCCAUUCUAGAUCUCGGGACGAGAUCCUCUCAUAGUGGUGGAGUGUUGUAACGCCCCGAGACCGAUGUGCCAAGUGUCAUCCAGUUAUUCGCUGUUGUUGCCUUGUCAUUGCUUGCGUGUCAUGCAUUGCAUAUCAUGUCAUCAUGUGCAUUUCAUUUGCAUACAUGUUCGUCUCAUGCAUCCGAGCAUUUUUCCCGUUGCCCGUUUUGCAAUCUGGCGCUCCUAUGUCACCCGGUGCCCCUUUCUACCUCUUUUCGUGUGUGGGGGUUAAACAUUUCCGGAUUGGACCGAGACUUGUCUUGCGGCCUUGGUUUACUACCAGUAGACCGCCUGUCAAGUUUCGUAUCAUUUGGACUUCGUUUGAUACUCCAACGGUUAACCGAGGGACCAAGAAGGCCUCGUGUGUGUUGCAGCCCAACACCCUUCCAAAGUGGCCCGAAACCCACUUAAACCUCCUCCAUCAUCUCGGUCGUUCGAUCACGAUCGCGUGGCCGAAAACCGCACCUCAUUUGGACUCUCCUAGCUCCCUCUACCUAUAAAUAUGUGAUCCCCUCCGAAAUUUCGCGGUACAAACCCUAGCCUUCCCCUUCCUCGCGCCGCCGGACAUUUUCUCCCGCGCUGGCCGGACAUGUCCGCCGCGCCGCCGCCACGUCGCCCGGCCAAUGGCGUUGCGCCAUGUCGCCCCAUCCGCCGCCUCAGCCACUAGCGGAGCGCCACCUGGCCUCCCGCUCCUCCCCGCCGCCGCGGCCCACGGAGCCCGUUGCGGGCCCAGAUCCACCGCCGCCUGCNNNNNNNNNNNNNNNNNNNNNNNNNNNNNNNNNNNNNNNNNNNNNNNNNNNNNNNNNNNNNNNNNNNNNNNNNNNNNNNNNNNNNNNNNNNNNNNNNNNNNNNNNNNNNNNNNNNNNNNNNNNNNNNNNNNNNNNNNNNNNNNNNNNNNNNNNNNNNNNNNNNNNNNNNNNNNNNNNNNNNNNNNNNNNNNNNNNNNNNNNNNNNNNNNNNNNNNNNNNNNNNNNNNNNNNNNNNNNNNNNNNNNNNNNNNNNNNNNNNNNNNNNNNNNNNNNNNNNNNNNNNNNNNNNNNNNNNNNNNNNNNNNNNNNNNNNNNNNNNNNGACGCGCCCCGGCCGCGCCGCCCGCUCACCGCCGCGGCGAGCUCGCCGCCCGGUCACCGGAGCUCCUCUCCGACGAGCUCGUCGCUGAUCCGCGCGCCCCGCCUUUUCCCUCGUCGCUGGCGUCCUCCCCGCCCUCUUCUCCGGCGAAGGCCCGGCGCCGCCUCGAUCUGCGUGCACUCGGGUCCAAACCCUAAAUCUGUUUUUGGAGAGGUAUAAAUUUCACUAAGUCCCCGAGAUUUCCAUGUUUCAAAUGCCCUUGUUCAUCAUGUCGUAACUCCGCAUCCGUAGCUCCGUUUUGGGCGUGUGGCAUAUCAAAAUGUUCGCCUCAGAGAGUACAUCAUUUCAUCUCAUUGCAUUAUUUUCAUUUGAUCUCAUAUUGAUGCCCGAAAUGCUAUUGGAAGUGUGCUAUUUGAGUUAAUUGUCAGAUCUGCUGCUCCAAAUAGCUAUUUGUCAUUUUUGCCAUGAUUAAUGUGUGCAUGAUAUGCCCCUGAGCUCUACAUGUGUUUUGUUAUAUGCCUUGCCAUCUUUCCAGAGGUGCUAUCCAUGUAUUUUUGUGAUGUGUGUGGUGUCUAGCACAAGCUUGCAAAGUGGUGCAUUCGUUAAUGCUGAUUUCAGGGACUUAGCAAUUCCACUAAGUCUUUGAUCUGUUUUUUAUCAAUAUGCCAUAUGUUCAUGUUGUUUCCUAGUGAUCCGUGCCUCUUUUGAGGAUAAUCAGUAAGGAUAUUUUGUUAAUAUUGUAGUGCUCUAUCCAUCCAUGUCUUUGUUUGCAAUUAUGGAGCACCCUAGCUUGAGUCAAUCGAGCUCUACUUUUGCUAUUUCGUGAAUCUGGGCAGAUUGUCUACUUGUUAGCGAUUUUGUCGAGGAUGUUGUAGUUGAUCCGUGCACGAUAUGUAAUUGUUCUUUCCAUGUCUAGCUUGUAUAAUGUGUAUUCUUAAUGGGUGUAUGAUUAGAUUAUCAUGCCUUGAUCUGUAGUGAGUGCAUCGAGCUCGUAAACAUGCCUACUUGAUAUCUAUUUUGCAUGCUCCAGUUUUUCGCUAAGUCUGUGAUCUGAUUAUGUUUUUGCUAUGUUCACAUGCUUGCAAUUGUAUUUUCUGAUCCCUUUUGGCUCAAGGUCAUUAAGGGACUUUUGUUAAGCUCUUUGAUUAGCUUCAUGCCAUGCUUUACUUUGCCAUGUUAAGUUCCUGUAGCAUAUAGCUUUCAUGCUCUAAAGUGUGCUACCUGAUCUGAAAUUCCAGGCUUGUGUUAAUUUCACUAAGUCUGAAAUCUGUUUACCAAUUGCUCUUUUGCCACGCUUGUUUAAACCUGUUAAUGGAUGAAUUGGCCGUAGCUCAGUGUUCAUCUUUUGUUAAGAUUUAUGAAUGGAUCCCUGUCAUGUACUUUGUUGCCAUGUUUGGGUGUUGUAGAAUAUUUAUCUUGAUGCAUUUAGAUGGCUACUUACUGUUUAUCGCAGAUCGGUGCCAUAUUUGUUUCGCUUGCCAUUUCCAAACCAUGUCUCCGAUUCCGGUGUUCUUUAUAUCGAUUUCAACCGAAAUCACCGCACCUUUCCAGUGGCACACUUGGAUUUCCAAGUUGAGGACAAGUUCUUUCUUUACCUUGCAAAUCAUGCAUAUGCAUCGCAUACCGCAUCCCGCAUAUCAUACCAUGUUCAUGUGUUGGUUGUUUACUAUGUUGUGUGCUUCUUUCCGGUGUUGCUUCUUCGGGUUGGUUCCGAUAACGUCGCGUUUGUGAGGACUCGUUCAUCUAUGCCCGUUUGUCUUCUUCAUGGUCUCGUUCUUCUUCCUUGCGGGAUUUCAAGCAAGAUGAUCAUACCCUCGAAAUCACUUCUAUCUUUGCUUGCUAGUUGCUCGCUCUUUUGCUAUGCCUAUGCUGCGAUACCUACCACUUGCUUAUCAUGCCUCCCAUAUUGUUAAACCAAGCCUCUAACCCACCUUGUCCUAGCAAACCGUUGUUUGGCUAUGUUACCACUUUGCUCAGCCCCUCUUAUAGCGUUGUUAGUUGCAGGUGAAGAUUGAAGUUUGUUCCUUGUUGGAACAUGGAGAUUGUUCCUUGUUGGAACAUUGUUUACUUGUUGGGAUAUCACAAUAUAUCUUAUCUAAUUAAUGCAUCUAUAUACUUGGUAAAGGGUGGAAGGUUCGGCCUUAUGCCUGGUGUUUUGUUCCACUCUUGCCGCCCUAGUUUCCGUCAUAUCGGUGUUAUGUUCCCGGAUUUUGCGUUCCUUACGCGGUUGGGUUAUAAUGGGAACCCCUUGACAGUUCGCCUUGAAUAAAACUCCUCCAGCAAGGCCCAACCUUGGUUUUACCAUUUGCCACCUAGCCUUUUUCUUUCCCUUGGGUCAGCCAGCCCAAGGGUCAUCUUUAUUAAACCCCCCGGGCCAGUGCUCCUCUGAGUGUUGGUCCAACCUAGAGCACCGUGCGGGGCCGUCCCUUGGCAACUUAGGUUACGUUGGCUCCCAUACGCUUAGCUUAUCCGGUGUGCCCUGAGAAUGAGAUAUGUGCAGCUCCUAUCGGGAUUUGUCAGCACAACGGGUGGUCUUGCUGGACUUGUUUUACCAUUGUCGAGGAUGUCUUGUAACCGAGAUUCCGAGUCUGAUCGGGUCUUCCCGCUAGAAGGAAUAUCCUUCGUUGACCGUGAGAGCUUGUGAUGGGCUAAGUUGGGACACCCCUGCAGGGAUUUGAACUUUCGAAAGCCGUGCCCGCGGUUAUGGGCAGAUGGGAAUUUGUUAACGUCCGGUUGUAGAAAACCUGAAGUUGACCUUAAUUAAAAUACAUCAACCGCGUGUGUAACCGUGAUGGUCUCUUUCCCGUGGAGUUCGGGAAGUGAACACGGUGUUGGAGUAAUGCUUGACGUUAGGUUGUUCUAGGAUCACUUCUUGAUCAUAGUUUCUCGACCGUGCUUUGCCUUCUCUUCUCGCUCUCAUUUGCGUAUGUUAGCCACCAUAUAUGCUAGUCGCUUGCUGCAGUUCCACUUCAUACCUUUACCUUACCCAUAAGCUUAAAUAGUCUUGAUCGCGAGGGCGCGAGAUUGCUGAGUCCCCGUGGCUCAGAGAUACUUCCAAAACCAGCUUGCAGGUGCCGAUGAGUCCGUGCCGAUGACACAACCAAGCUCAGGAGGAGCUCGAUGAAGAUCUUGUUCUUUAUGUUGUUUCGUUCUAGUUGAUCAGUAGUGGAGCCCAGUUGGGGUCGAUCGGGGACCUUGUCGCAUUUGGGGUUCUUCUUUUAUUUUGGUUCCGUAGUCGGACCUUGAUUGUAUCUGGUUGAUGUAAUGCUUUAUUCAUGUAUUUGUGUGAAGUGGCGAUUGUAAGCCUACUAUGUAUCUUUCCCUUAUGUAUUACAUGGGUUGUGUGAAGAUUGCCUUACUUGCGACAUUGCUUUCAAUGUGGUUAUGCCUCUAAGUCGUGCUUCGACACGUAGGAGAUAUAGCCGCAUCGAGGGCGUUACAGAUCAAUGAUCAACUUGUGUGUUCUAGGGUGCCCCCUACCCCCGUAUAUAAAGGAGUAAGGGGGGAGGCUGGCCGGCCCCUGUAGGGUGCGCCAGGAGGAGGAGUCCUCCUCCUAAUAGGAGUAGGACUCCCCUUUCCUACUCCUACUAGGAGGAGGAAAGGAAGGGGGAAGGGGAGAAGGAAGGAGGGGGAGGAAAGGAGGAAAGGGAGGCCUCCCCCCUAGUCCAAUUUCGUUUGGGCUAGGGGGGCGCGCGCCCUGCGUUCUCUCUUCCACCACUUGGCCCAUGAGGCCCAAUACUUCUUCCCCGUAUUCCCGUAACUCCUCGGUACUUCGAAAAAUACCUGAAUCACUCGGAACUUUCCCGAUGUCCGAAUAUAGUCAUCCAAUAUAUCGAUCUUUACGUCUCGACCAUUUCGAGACUCCUCGUCAUGUCCCUGGUCUCAUCCGGGACUCUGAACUACCUUCGGUACAUCAAAUCACAUAAACUCAUAAUACUGAUCGUCACCGAACGUUAAGCGUGCGGACCCUACGGGUUCGAGAACUAUGUAGACAUGAUCGAGACAUGUCUCCGGUCAAUAACCAAUAGCGGAACCUGGAUGUUCAUAUUGGCUCCUACAUAUUCUACGAAGAUCUUUAUCGGUCAAACCACAUAACAACAUACGUCGUUCCCUUUGUCAUCGGUAUGUUACUUGCUCGAGAUUCGAUCGUCGGUAUCCUCAUACCUAGUUCAAUCUCAUUACCGGCAAGUCUCUUUACUCGUUCUGUAAUGCAUCAUCCCGUAACUAAAUCAUUAGUCACAAUGCUUGCAAGGCUUAUAGUAAUGUGCAUUACCGAGUGGGCCCAGAGAUACCUCUCCAACAAUCGGAGUGAAAAAUCCUAAUCUCGAUCUAUGCCAACUCAACAAGCACCAUCGGAGACACCUGUAGAGCACCUUUAUAAUAACCUAGUUACGUUGUGACGUUUGGUAGCACACAAAGUGUUCCUCCGGUACUCGGGAGUUGCAUAAUCUCAUAGUCAUAGGAACAUGUAUAAGUCAUGAAGAAAGCAGUAGCAACAAACUAAACGAUCAUCGUGCUAAGCUAACGGAUGGGUCAAGUCAAUCACAUCAUUCUAUAAUGAUGUGAUCUCGUUAAUCAAAUGAUAACUCAUGUCUAUGGUUAGGAAACAUAACUAUCAUUGAUUCAACGAGCUAGUCAAGUAGAGGCAAACUAGUGACACUCUGUUUGUCUAUGUAUUCACACAUGUACUAAGUUUCCGGUUAAUACAAUUCUAGCAUGAAUAAUAAACAUUUAUCAUGAUAUAAGGAAAUAUAAAUAACAACUUCAUUAUUGCCUCUAGGGCAUAUUUCCUUCAAUCAGCUAGGUAGUACCCCUUGUUGUAGUACCGCCCAUUGACCUCGAAGUUCACCGGAGGAGAUGACCUUCAACAAGCUUGGCAAAGACAGGGGAGCACUGCAGCAAGUUGAUGUCAUUGUGAGUUCCUGGCAUACCAAAGAAGGAGUGCCAAAUCUAGAGGUCCUGUGUGGCCACCGCCUCAAGUACCACACUGCAACCGCCUUUGGCACCUUUGUACAUCCCCUGCCAAGCAAAUGGGCAGUUCUUCCAUUUCCAAUGCAUGCAGUCGAUGCUUCCAAGCAUCCCAGUAAAUCCUCUUGCUGCAUUCUGUGCUAGGAUCCGAGCAGUGUCUUCCGCAUUGGGUGUUCGCAAGUAUUGCGGUCCAAACACUGCCACCACUUCCCAACAGAACUUGUAGAAACAGUCAAUGGUGGUGGACUCAUCCAUGCGCCCAUAGUCGUCGAGUGAAUCACCGGGAGCUCCCUAUGCAAGCAUCCUCAUUGCUGUCGUGCAUUUUUGGAUUGAGGUGAAUCCAAGUUUGCCGAUACAAUCCUUCUUGCACUUGAAGUAGUUGUUGAACUCUCGGAUGUAAUUCACAAUCCCGAGGAAAAGCUUUCGGCUCAUCCGGUAACGGCGCCGAAAUGUUUUGUCGUCGUGCAGUGGAGCGUCGGCGAAGUAGUCGGAGUAGAGCAUGCAGUAGCCUUCUAGACGAUGUCGGUUCUUUGCUUUCAUUCGCCCCGGCGCCGAGCCACCUCGCUGCGGCUUUUCAUUGCUCGCCAGCAAGCCGGCGAGGGCGGCGAGGACCAUGAGAUGUUCCUCUUUCUGGACGUCGGCCUCGGUUUCCUCCUCCAGCAGCGCGACGAGCGCUUCCUCGUCGUCCAGGUCCAUUGCCGAGGCAGGCGAAUCUCCGAACACCUUGCGGGCGCGGUGGGUGCUUACCCGCUGAUACAUCUCCAACGUAUCUAUAAUUUUUGAUUGCUCCAUGCUAUAUUAUCUACUGUUUUGGACAUUAUUGGGCUUUAUUAUUCACUUCUAUAUUAUUUUUGGGACUAACCUAUUAACCAGAGGCCCAGCCCAGAAUUGCUGUUUUUUGCCUGUUUUAGGGGUUCGAAGAAAAGGAAUAUCAAACGGAGUCCAAACAGAAUGAAACCUUCGGGAACGUGAUUUUCUCACUGAAUACAACUCAGGAGACUUGGACCCUACGUCNNNNNNNNNNNNNNNNNNNNNNNNNNNNNNNNNNNNNNNNNNNNNNNNNNNNNNNNNNNNNNNNNNNNNNNNNNNNNNNNNNNNNNNNNNNNNNNNNNNNNNNNNNNNNNNNNNNNNNNNNNNNNNNNNNNNNNNNNNNNNNNNNNNNNNNNNNNNNNNNNNNNNNNNNNNNNNNNNNNNNNNNNNNNNNNNNNNNNNNNNNNNNNNNNNNNNNNNNNNNNNNNNNNNNNNNNNNNNNNNNNNNNNNNNNNNNNNNNNNNNNUGGGCCCCUUGUUGCUCCACCGACCUACUUCUUCCUCCUAUAUAUAUCCACAUACCCCCAAAUGAUCAGAUACGGAGCCAAAAACCUAAUUCCACCGCCGCAACUUUCUGUAUCCAUGAGAUCCCAUCUUGGGGCCUGUUUUGGAGCUCAGCAGGAGGGGGCAUCGAUCACGGAGGGCUUCUACAUCAUCAUCCAAGCCCUUCCGGUGAAGUGUGAGUAGUUUACUUCAGACCUACGGGUCCAUAGUUAGUAGCUAGGUGGCUUCUUCUCUCUUUUUGGAUCUCAAUACAAUGUUCUCCCCCUCUCUCGUGGAGAUCUAUUCGAUGUAAUCUUCUUUUUGCGGUGUGUUUGUUGAGACCGAUGAAUUGUGGGUUUAUGAUCCAGUCUAUCUAUGAAUAAUAUUUGAAUCUUCUCUGAAUUCUUUUAUUUAUGAUUGGUUAUCUUUGCAAGUCUCUUCAAAUUAUCAGUUUGGUUUGGCCUACUAGAUUGGUUUUUCUUGCCAUGGGAGAAGUGCUUAGCUCUGGGUUCGAUCUUGCAGUGUCCUUUCCCAGUGACAGAAGGGGCAGCAAGGCAUGUAUUGUAUCGUUGUCAUCGAGGAUAACAAGAUGGGGUUUUUAUCAUAUUGCAUGAAACUAUCCCUCUACAUCAUGUCAUCUUUCUUAAGGCGUUACUCUGUUUUUAACUUAAUACUCUAGAUGCAUGCUGGAUAGCGGUUGAUGAGUGGAGUAAUAGUAGUAGAUGCAGGCAGGAGUCGGUCUACUUGUCUCGGACGUGAUGCCUAUAUACAUGAUCAUACCUAGAUAUUCUCAUAACUAUGCUCAAUUCUGUCAAUUGCUCAACAGUAAUUUGUUCACCCACCGUAGAAUAUUUAUGCUCUUGAGAGAAGCCACUAGUGAAACCUAUGGCCCCCGAGUCUCUUGCUCUUGAGAGAAGCCACCGUAGAAUACUUAUACUUUAUUACUGCUUUGCUUUUUUACUUUGUCUUUUACUUUUCACUUUGCAUCUCUUUACCAAAAAUACCAAAAAUAUUAUUUAUCAUCUUUAUCAGAUCUCACUUUCAUAAGUGACCAUGAAGGGAUGGACAACCCCUAAGCACGUUGGUUGCGUUGAGCUAUUGUUUUCGUGUAGGUACGAGGGACUCGUGCAUAGCCUCCUACUGGAUUGGUACCUUGGUUCUCAAAAACUGAGGGAAAUACUUACGCUACUUUGCUGCAUCAUCCUCUCCUCUUCGGGGAAAUCCAACGCAGUGCUCAAAGAGGUAGCAAGAAAGAAUUUCUGACGCCGUUGCUGGGGAGUCUGUGCAAAAGUCAACAUACCAAGUACCCAUCACAAUCCUUAUCUCCCGCAUUACAUUAUUUGUCAUUUGCCUCUCGUUUUCCUCUCCCCCACUUCACCCUUGCCGUUUUAUUCGCCCUCUCUCUCUAUCCUCCCUCUCUUUCUCUAUUUGCCUCUUUUUGCCCGUUUGCCUUUUGUUUGCUCGUGUGUUGGAUUGCUUGUUUGUCGCAAUGGCUCAAGAUAAUACUAAAUUGUGUGACUUCACCAAUACCAACAACAAUGAUUUCCUUAGCACUACGAUUGCUCCUCUUACUGAUGCUGAAUCUUGUGAAAUUAAUACUGCUUUGCUGAAUCUUGUCAUGAAAGAUCCGUUCUCCGGCCUUCCUAGUGAAGAUGCCGCUACCCAUCUUAAUAGUUUCGUUGGUUUGUGUGACAUGCAAAAGAAGAAAGAUGUCGAUAAUGAUAUUGUUAAAUUGAAGCUAUUUCGUUUUUCGCUUAGAGAUCGUGCUAAAGCUUGGUUUUCGUCUUUGCCUAAAAAUAGUAUUGAUUCAUGAAACAAGUGCAAAGAUGUUUUUAUCUCUAAGUAUUUUCCUCCCGCUAAGAUCAUCUCUCUUAGAAAUGAUAUUAUGAAUUUUAAGCAACUUGAUCAUGAACAUGUUGCACAAGCUUGGGAGAGAAUGAAAUUAAUCAUAUGUAAUUGCCCUACUCAUGGUUUAAAUUUGUAGAUGAUUAUACAAAAAAAUUAUGCCGGAUUGAAUUUUGCUUCUAGAAGUCUUUUAGAUUCGGCCACGGGAGGCACUUUUAUGGAAAUCACUUUAGGAGAAGCUACUAAACUCCUAGAUAAUAUUAUGGUUAAUUAUUCUCAAUGGCAUACUGAAAGAUCUACUAAAAAGGUGCAUACGAUAGAAGAAAUUAAUGUUUUGAGUGGAAAGAUGGAUGAACUUAUGAAAUUAUUUGCUAAUAAGAGUGUUUCUUCCGAUCCUAAUGAUGUGCCCUUGUCUACUUUGAUUGAGAAUAAUAAUGAAUCUAUGCAUGUGAAUUUUUUUGGUAGGAACAAUUUUGGUAACAACGCGUAUAGAGGAAAUUUCAACCCUAGGCCUUAUCCUAGUAAUCCCUCUAAUAAUUAUGGUAAUUCCUACAAAAAUUCUUAUGGAAAUUAUAAUAAGAUGCCCUCUGAUUUUGAAUCUAAUAUUAAAGAAUUUAUUACUUCACAAAAGAAUUUUAAUGCUUUGAUUGAAGAAAAAUUGCUUAAGAUUGAUGAUUUGGCUAGGAACGUUGAUAGAAUUGCUCUUGAUGUUGAUUCUUUAAAACUUAGAUCUAUUCCACCUAAGCAUGAUAUCAAUGAGUCUCUCAAAGCCAUGAGAAUUUCCAUUGACGAGUGCAAAGAAAGAACCGCUAGGAUGCGUGCUAAGAAAGAUGCCUUUAUAAAAGCGUGUUCUUCUAGUUCCUAUGAAAAUAAUGAUGAAGAUCUAAAAGUUAUUGAUGUGUCCCCUAUUAAAUCUUUGUUUUGCAAUAUGAAUCUUGAUAAUGAUGGGACUGAAUAUGAUCCACCUUCACCUAGAAGGCGUUCUAAGAAUUUGGAAUUUGUUGAUCUUGAUGCUAAAUUUGAUAAAAGUGGGAUUGAAAAAAUUAAAGCCCUAGAUGUUGCUAAACCCACUAUAUUGGAUUUCAAGGAAUUUAAUUAUGAAAAUUGUUGUUUAAUUGAUUGUAUUUCCUUGUUGCAAUCCGUGCUAAAUUCUCCUCACGCUUAUAGUCAAAAUAAAGCAUUUACUAAACAUAUCGUUGAUGCCUUGAUGCAAUCUUAUGAAGAAAAACUUGAAUUGGAAGUUUCUAUCCCUAGAAAACUUUAUGAUGAGUGGGAACCUACUAUUAAAAUUAAAAUUAAAUAUUAUGAGUUUUAUGCUUUGUGUGAUUUGGGUGCUAGUGUCUCUACUAUUCCCAAAACUUUGUGUGAUUUGUUAGAUUUCCAUAAUUUUGAUGAUUGCUCUCUAAACUUGCAUCUUGUGGAUUCCACUAUUAAGAAACCUAUGGGAAGAAUUAAUGAUGUUCUUAUUGUUGCCAAUAGGAAUUAUGUGCCUGUAGAUUUUAUCGUUCUUGAUAUAGAUUGCAAUCCUUCUUGCCCUAUUAUUCUCGGUAGACCUUUCCUUAGAACGGUUAGUGCAAUUAUUGAUAUGAAGGAAGGGAAUAUUAGAUUCCAAUUUCCAUUAAAAAGGGCAUGGAACACUUCCCUAGAAAGAAAAAUAAAAUUACCAUAUGAAUCUAUCAUGAGAGCCAUUUAUGGAUUGCCUAUCAAAGAUGGCAAUACCUAGAUCUAUUCUUACUUGUUAUGCCUAGCUAGGGGCGUUAAACGAUAGCGCUUGUUGGGAGGCAACCCAAUUUUAUUUUUAUUCCUUGCUUUUUGCUCCUAUUUAGUAAUUAAUAAAUUAUUUAGCCUCUGUUUUGGUUGUGUUUUUUGUGUUUAAUUAGUGUUUGUGCCAAGUAGAACCGUUGGGAAGACUUGGAGAAAGUCUUGUUGAACUUGCUGUAAAAAACAGAAACUUUAGCGCUCACGAGAACUGCUGUCAUUUUUAUUUGGAGAGUGCUAUUUAGUUAAUUCUUUUUGAAGAUGAUUAAUAGAUAAAUUCCUCAUGUCAAGAAAUUUAUUUUAGAAUUUUUGGGUUCCAGAUCUUGCGCUAGCUACAGAUUACUACAGAUUGUUCUGUUUUUUGACAGAUUCUGUUUUUCAUGUGUUGUUUGCUUAUUUUGAUGAAUCUAUGGCUAAUAAAAUAGUUUAUAAACCAUAGAGAAGUUGUAAUACAGUAGGUAUAACACCCAUAUAAAUAAAUAAUGAGUUCAUUACAGUACCUUGAAGUGUUCUUUUGUUUUCUUUCGCUAACGGAGCUCACGAGAUUUUCUACUUUAAGUUUUGUGUUGUGAAGUUUUCAAGUUUUGGGUAAAGAUUUGAUGGAUUAUGGAACAAGGAGUGGCAAGAGACUGAGCUUGGGGAUGCCCAUGGCACCCUCAAUAUAAUCUAAGGACAACUAAAAGCCAAAGCUUGGGGAUGCCCCGGAAGGCAUCCCCUCUUUCGUCUACUUCUAUCAAUAACUUUACUUGGAGCUAUAUUUUUAUUCACCACAUCAUAUGUGUUUUGCUUGGAGCGUCAUUUAUGACUUGAGUCUUUUCUUGUUAGUAUACCACAAUCAUCCUUGCUGUACACACCUUUUGAGAGAGCCAUACAUAAUUUGGAAUUUUAUAGAAUACUCUAUGUGCUUCACUUAUAUCUUUUGAGUUAUAUAAUUUUGCUCUAGUGCUUCACUUAUAUCUUUUAGAGCACGGUGGUGGAUUUGUUUUAUAGAAACUAUUGAUCUCUCAUGCUUCACUUAGAUUAUUUUGAGAGUCUUAAUAGCAUGGUAAUUUGCUUAAUAAUAAUAUGCUUGGUAUUCAAGAUUUGUAAAACUUUCUUUUGAGUGCGUUGAAUACUAAGAAAAAAAUUGAUGCUUGAUAAUUGUUUUGAGAUAUGAGGAUGGUGAUAUUAUAGUCAUGCUAGUUGAGUAGUUGUGAAUUUGAGAAAUGCUUGUGUUAAAGUUUGUGAUUCCCGUAGCAUGCACCUAUGGUGAACCGUUAUGUGAUGAAGUCGGAGCAUGAUUUAUUUAUUGAUUGUCUUCCUUAUGAGUGUCGGUCGGGGACGAGUGAUGGUCUUUUCCUACCAAUCUAUCCCCCUAGGAGCAUGCAUGUAAUACUUUGCUUUGAUAACUUCUAAAUUUUUGCAAUAAGUAUAUGAGUUCUUUAUGACUAAUGUUGAGUCCAUGGAUUAUACGCACUUUCCUUCCUUCCAACAUUGCUAGCCUCUCUAAUACCGCGCACUUUUCGCUGGUAUCAUACACCCACCAAAUACCUUCCUCAAAACAGCCACCAUACCUACCUAUCAUGGCAUUUCCAUAGCUAUUCCGAGAUAUAUUGCCAUGCAACUUUCCACCGUUCCGUUUAUUGUGACACGCUCCAUCAUUGUCAUAUUGCUAGCAUGAUCAUGUAGUUGACAUCGUAUUUGUGGCAAAGCCACCGUUCAUAAUUCUUUCAUACAUGUCACUCUUGAUUCAUUGCAUAUCCCAGUACACCGCCAGAGGCAUUCAUAUAGUCAUAUUUUGUUCUAAGUAUUGAGUUGUAAUUGUUGAGUUGUAAGAAAAAUAAAAAGUGUGAUGAUCAUCAUUUUUAGAGCAUUGUCCCAAGUGAGGAAAGGAUGAUGGAGACUAUGAUUCUCCCACAAGUCAGGAUGAGACUCCGGACGAAAAAAAAGAGGCCAUAAAAAAAGAGAAGGCCCAAAAAAAUGAGAGAAAAAGAGAGAAGGGACAAUGUUACAAUCCUUUUACCACACUUGUGCUUCAAAGUAGCACCAUGAUCUUUAUGAUAGAGAGUCUCUCAUUCUGUCACUUUCAUAUACUAGUGGGAAUUUUUCAUUAUAGAACUUGGCUUGUAUAUUCCAAUGAUGGGCUUCCUCAAAAUGCCCUAGGUCUUCAUGAGCAAGCGAGUUGGAUGCACACCCACUUAGUUUCUUUCGUUGAGCUUUCAUAUACUUAUAGCUCUAGUGCAUCUGUUGCAUGGCAAUCCCUACUCACUCACAUUGAUAUCUAUUGAUGGGCAUCUCCAUAGCCCGUUGAUACGCCUAGUUGAUGUGAGACUAUCUUCUCCCUUUUUGUCUUCUCCACAACCACCAUUCUAUUCCACAUAUAGUGUUAUAUUCAUGGCUCACGCUCAUGUAUUGCGUGAAGAUCGAAAAAGUUUUGAAAAUGUCAAUAGUAUGAAACAAUUGCUUGGCUUGUCAUCGGGGUUGUGCAUGAUUUAAAUACUUUGUGUGGUGAAGAUAGAGCAUAGCCAGACUAUAUGAUUUUGUAGGGAUAGCUUUCUUUGGCCAUGUUAUUUUGAGAAGACAUAAUUGCUUUGUUAGUAUGCUUGAAGUAUUAUUAUUUUUUAUGUCAACAUGAACUUUUGUCUUGAAUCUUUUGAAUCUAAAUAUUCAUACCACAAUUAUGAAGAUUUACAUUGAAAUUAUGCCAAGUAGCACUCCGCAUCAAAAAUUCUGUUUUUUAUCAUUUACCUACUCGAGGACGAGCAGGAAUUAAGCUUGGGGAUGCUUGAUACAUCUCCAAUGUAUCUAUAAUUUUUGAUUGCUCCAUGCUAUAUUAUCUACUGUUUUGGACAUUAUUGGGCUUUAUUAUCCACUUUUAUAUUAUUUUUGGGACUAUCCUAUUAACCGGAGGCCCAGCCCAGAAUUGCUGUUUUUUGCCUGUUUUAGGGUUUCGGAGAAAAGGAAUAUCAAACGGAGUCCAAACGGAAUGAAACCUUCGGGAACGUGAUUUUCUCACCGAAUACAACUCAGGAGACUUGGACCCUACGUCAAGCCAAUUAACAGGAGGCCAUGAGGUAGGGGGCGUGCGUGCCCCCCCCCCCAGGCGCGCCCUCCACCCUCGUGGGCCCCCUGUUGCUCCACCAACGUACUUCUUCCUCCUAUAUAUAUCCACGUACCCCCAAACGAUCAGAUACGGAGCCAAAAAUCUAAUUCCACCACCGCAACUUUCUGUAUCCACGAGAUUCCAUCUUGGGGCCUGUUCCGGAGAUCCACCAGAGGGGGCAUCGAUCACAGAGGGCUUCUACAUCAUCAUCCAAGCCCUUCCAAUAAAGUGUGAGUAGUUUACUUCAGACCUACGGGUCCAUAAUUAGUAGCUAGAUGGCUUCUUCUCUCUUUUUGGAUCUCAAUACAAUGUUCUCCCCCUCUCUCAUGGAGAUCUAUUCGAUCGAAUCUUCUUUUUGCGGUGUGUUUGUUGAGACCGAUGAAUUGUGGGUUUAUGAUCCAGUCUAUCUAUGAAUAAUUUUUGAAUCUUCUCUGAAUUCUUUUAUGUAUGAUUGGUUAUCUUUGCAAGUCUCUUCGAAUUAUCAGUUUGGUUUGGCCUACUAGAUUGGUUUUUCUUGCCAUGGGAGAAGUGCUUAGCUUUGGGUUCGAUCUUGUGGUGUCCUUUCCCAGUGACAGAAGGGGCAGUAAGGCACGUAUUGUAUCGUUGCCAUCGAGGAUAAACAAGAUGGUUUUUUUAUCAUAUUGCAUGAAACUAUCCCUCUACAUCAUGUCAUCUUACUUAAGACGUUACUCUGUUUUAACUUAAUACUCUAGAUGCAUGUUGGAUAGCGGUCAAUGAGUGGAGUAAUAGUAGUAGAUGCAGGAAGGAGUCGGUCUACUUGUCUCGGACGUGAUGCCUAUAUACAUGAUCAUACCUAGAUAUUCUCAUAACUAUGCUCAAUUCUGUCAAUUGCUCAACAGUAAUUUGUUCACCCACCGUAGAAUACUUAUGCUCUUGAGAGAAGCCACUAGUGAAACCUAUGGCCCCCGGGUCUCUUUCUCAUCAUAUCAAUCUCCAUCACUUUAUUAUUGCUUUGCUUUUUACUUUGCCUUUUACUUUUCACUUUGCAUCUCUUUACCAAAAAUGCCAAAAAUAUUACUUAUCAUCUCUAUCAGAUCUCACUUUCGUAAGUGACCAUGAAGGGAUUGACAACCCCUAAACUCGUUGGUUGCGUUGAGCUAUUGUUUUUGUGUAGGUACGAGGGACUCGUACGUAGCCUCCUACUGGAUUGAUACAUUAGUUCUCAAAAACUGAGGGAAAUACUUACGCUACUUUGCUGCAUCAUCCUCUCCUCUUCAGGAAAACCCAACGUAGUGCUCAAAGAGGUAGCACCCGCCGCAACACUGCCCCUCCGCGGCCGGAAACGCCAGAAAAAUCACGCCAGCCAGUGGUGGAGGGACUGCCUCGCGAAACCUCUGCUCUUUUUCCGGCGGAGAUGGGCUAUCUAGCGGUGGCGGGCGGUGGGCGGCGCCAGGAUCAGCCGGUUGGCGGCCAAGCGCGCGGGGGUGGGAGACGAAUCUGGAAGAAAGACUUGACUUUUCGCCUGAUGGUGUGGGCCAGACGUGCUUUUCCCUUGUGCCGGAGCCCCCGAGUGACCCCAGUGCGCCGGGUUCGACCUGCGAUCGCCGGGCCCAAAAACGGGCCAAGCCGACGGAUUUCGGCGUCCUAGGGGCGCGACUGGGCAUUUUUUCGGCGCCGACGCCGAAAAAAUCGCCUGGGGGGGCUAUUGAGGGCGCGGCUGAAGAUGCUCUAAUGCAUCUUUGCAAGAGAAUAACACCCUACAUGCAGUGAACAUUUUAUAAAAGCGUGAGCUUUUGAAAAACACAAACAAUUUUUUUAGUUCAAAUAUUUUUGGGAAACACAAACAUAAAAUGAAUAUUGUGAACAGUUUUAGAAAAUUCUGAAAAAAAAACAAAACACAAAUAUUUUUCAGUUUUACAAAGUUUUUUGAGAACAUGAUCAAAUUUUAUAAUUUGCAUACAUUUUGUGAAAAUACCAACAUUUUCUUCAAAUUUAUGAUCUUUUUAAAUACAUGAACAAAAUUUGAAACUUUUGAACAUUUUACGAAAUUUUCUUAAAAAACUAGUAAAAUAUGACAUAUUUAAAAAAACCCAGAAAAGAAGGAAAAACACAGUUCAGAAACCUUUUACAAGGUUUCAAAACCGGUCAGGAACUUUCCAGAGGUUGCCAAAACUUGAAUUCCUCAGCACGUAACUAACUUUAAAUGGGUCAGCCCAGUAACACCCGCUUGUGGCUAUGAGAUCUCUUCCAAUGCAAAAGUGUUUAGAUGAGGUGAUAAGUGCAUUAAAUAUUUUAGCAACUCAACUUCCCAAUGCAUAGGUGCUUAACUUGUUGUUGUUAAGCACACUAUUUAAUAAGUUAGCACCUAAAGUCUUUCAUGCAUUGAUCAAAUUGUUUCAUUUAAGUGCUUUGCCUAGGUUCUCACGCUUGGCGUUGGUUCUUCCUGGGGUCACCAAAGUAUUCUCUCCUCUCCUUAAAUGUUGUGCCAUGUCAUUUUUUUUAUGUGGCAUGCUUAGCACCUGUCCACGGUGGAGCAUUGGGAAAGGUCUGAUGUGUGUUUCAACGACUAUUUAACGCAAAGCGUGCCGAAUAGUAAUGCUCUCUUUUUCUUUUUCUUUUCUUGUUUUGAAGCAGGAAAUGCUCUCUUAUGGUGUAUAGAUAUUGAUAUAGGUAUGAUAAACCGAAGAAAAAUUUAUAUAAGGGAAUAACUUUUUCACUUUGUAUUUUGACCAUCCACUUAUAUCAUUCCAAUAUACUCCCUCUGUAAACUAUUAUAAGAGCGUUUAGAUUAAUAAAACAGUGAUCUAAACACUCUUAUAUUAGUUUACGGAGGGAGUAUUUCAUACUGUUAUGUGAUCGAUACACAUUUUCUUUGCCAUCCUUUAAUCAUCAAACAAAUUUGUUUGCUCUGAACCACUGAUCGACCAACGGGCUCAGUGAAGUGAAGUGAAGUGUUUGCACGUGAGAGAUGGAAAGCGGAUUCCUGUCCGACACAUCGUCACCCGCUGAUCACUUCAUCAGUUUGAGACUUAGUCAAGACAAUGAUUGCCGGAGACUGACCUUUCACCUUCCAGAUUGAUCAACCAUCAUCUGCAUCUGAAUACUUCAUGAAGAAAUCAUAUGGAGAAACAGAAGAAUUCGGUUUGCUAAUCAAUAUGGCUCAGUGAAGUGAAUUCCUGUCCGACACAUCGUCACCGGCUCAUCACUCAUCAGUUUGAGACUAUAGUCAAGACAAUGAUUGCCGGAGACUGACCUUUCACCUUCCAGAUUGAUCAACCAUCAUCUGCAUCUGAAUACUUCAUGAAGAAAUCAUAUGGAGAAACAUAAGAAUUCGGUUGGCUAAUCAAUAUGUCUGUGACGGUAUGAUGCUUUCCCUGUUCACCAGUAUCACUAGCGAAAGGGACCAAUUACCCACUGAUAAACACCAUGUACCGGACGGCAAUGACAUCAAGAAAAAUCAUUCGCCUUCCCGCGCGUGUGAUUUGUCGCUAUCAUGCUUUUCAUACUACAAUGACAUGCAACAAUUAUUUCAUCAAGGAACUAUGAGAUUCUAGUGUUUCCGUGCGAUAAAACCAGAUUGCUGCCCCAGAUUCUUGCUAAUAUGUAUAUAGCCAAACAGAGAUCAGAAUUGGCCCUAAGCUCAAAACUCAGCAGACAAUACAAGUCGGCAAAAUGUUCUUCACUGAACAUUCUUUUAUUGGCAUUCUUCAGCCUAAGUUAAAGAACUAAUGCAUCAACUGCCUGACAUAGGUGACAUGCACAUUAACCAGCGAUACUACAACGCGGGGUAUGUUAAAAGGUUCAAAUCGGCAACGACAGUACCACUCUCUGCAGUCUGCACUGCCUUCAUAGAGACUAUGAACACAGGACGGCGGCUCUUUUUACAGGUUCACGGCAAAACAGAACGCUUCUCCUUGCUUUAC